rnacentral:snRNA from 1 species
UGCCGGAGACUUCUCUGGUCAC